GAAAUGCGAUAAUUAAUGUGAAUUGCAGAAUUCAGUGAAUCAUCGAGUCUUUGAACGCACAUUGCGCCCCCUGGUAUUCCGGGGGGCAUGCCUGUCCGAGUGUCAUUGCUGCCCUCAAGCACGGCUUGUGUGUUGGGCUUCCGUCCCUGGCAACGGGGACGGGCCCAAAAGGCAGUGGUGGCACCAUGUCUGGUCCUCGAGCGUAUGGGGCUUUGUCACCCGCUCCCGUAGGUCCAGCUGGCAGCUAGCCUCGCAACCAAUCUUUUUAACCAGGUUGACCUCGGAUCAGGUAGGGAUACCCGCUGAACUUAAGC
rnacentral:misc_RNA from 1 species